rnacentral:rRNA from 1 species
UACGGGGGGUGCAAGCGUCACUCGGAAUCACUGGGCGUAAAGCGCGCGUAGGCGGUGAUGAAAGUCAGUGGUGAAAGCCCCCAGCUUAGCUGGGGAAUUGCCAUUGAAACUGCAUUGCUUGAGUAUGUGAGAGGAUAGUGGAAUUCCUGGUGUAGGAGUGAAAUCCGUAGAUAUCAGGAGGAACAUCAGUGGCGAAGGCGACUAUCUGGCACAUUACUGACGCUGAGGUGCGAAAGCGUGGGGAGCAAACAGG